rnacentral:rRNA from 1 species
UACGAAGGGGGCUAGCGUUGUUCGGAAUUAUUGGGCGUAAAGCGCGCGCAGGUGGUUUCUUAAGUCUGAUGUGAAAGCCCACGGCUCAACCGUGGAGGGUCAUUGGAAACUGGGGGACUUGAGUACAGAAGAGAAGAGUGGAAUUCCACGUGUAGCGGUGAAAUGCGUAGAGAUGUGGAGGAACACCAGUGGCGAAGGCGACUCUUUGGUCUGUAACUGACGCUGAGGCGCGAAAGCGUGGGGAGCAAACAGG